UACGUAGGGUCCGAGCGUUGUCCGGAAUUAUUGGGCGUAAAGGGCUCGUAGGCGGUUUGUCGCGUCGGGAGUGAAAACACCGGGCUUAACUCGGUGCUUGCUUCCGAUACGGGCAGACUAGAGGUAUGCAGGGGAGAAUGGAAUUCCUGGUGUAGCGGUGAAAUGCGCAGAUAUCAGGAGGAACACCGGUGGCGAAGGCGGUUCUCUGGGCAUUACCUGACGCUGAGGAGCGAAAGUGUGGGGAGCGAACAGG
rnacentral:rRNA from 1 species